rnacentral:rRNA from 1 species
GACGUAGGGGGCCAGCGUUGUUCGGAAUUACUGGGUGUAAAGGGUUCGUAGGCGGUGCGGCAAGUCGGGAGUGAAAUCUCUGGGCUUAACCCAGAGGCUGCUUCCGAAACUGCUGUGCUUGAGUGUGGGAGAGGCGCGUGGAAUUGCAGGUGUAGCGGUGAAAUGCGUAGAUAUCAGGAGGAACACCGGUGGCGAAGGCGGAUCUCUGGACCAGUUCUGACACUGAUGAGCGAAAGCCAGGGGAGCAAACAGG